rnacentral:rRNA from 1 species
UACAGAGGUCUCAAGCGUUGUUCGGAUUCAUUGGGCGUAAAGGGUGCGUAGGUGGCGCCGUAAGUCAGGUGUGAAAUUUCGGAGCUUAACUCCGAAACUGCAUUUGAUACUGCGGUGCUUGAGGACUGGAGAGGAGACUGGAAUUCACGGUGUAGCAGUGAAAUGCGCAGAUAUCGGGAAGAACACCAACGGCGAAAGCACUCUGCUGGGCCGACACUGACACUGAGAGACGAAAGCUAGGGGAGCGAAUGGG